rnacentral:rRNA from 1 species
GCGUGGGAACGUACCCUUCACUACGGAAUAGCUUCUGGAAACGGAAGGUAAUACCGUAUACGCCCUCCGGGGGAAAGAUUUAUCGGUGAAGGAUCGGCCCGCGUUAGAUUAGUUUGUUGGUGGGGUAAUGGCCUACCAAGACUACGAUCUAUAGCUGGUCUGAGAGGAUGAUCAGCCACACUGGGACUGAGACACGGCCCAGACUCCUACGGGAGGCAGCAGUGGGGAAUCUUGCACAAUGGGCGAAAGCCUGAUGCAGCCAUGCCGCGUGAAUGAUGAAGGCCUUAGGGUUGUAAAAUUCUUUCGCCAGGGAUGAUAAUGACAGUACCUGGUAAAGAAGCCCCGGCUAACUUCGUGCCAGCAGCCGCGGUAAUACGAAGGGGGCUAGCGUUGUUCGGAAUUACUGGGCGUAAAGCGCGCGUAGGCGGGCUAUUAAGCCAGAUGUGAAAGCCCGGAGCUCAACUCCGGAAUUGCAUUUGGAACUGGUAGCCUAGAGACCAGGAGAGGUUAGCGGAAUACCGAGUGUAGAGGUGAAAUUCGUAGAUAUUCGGUGGAACACCAGUGGCGAAGGCGGCUAACUGGACUGGUACUGACGCUGAGGCGCGAAAGUGUGGGGAGCAAACAGGAUUAGAUACCCUGGUAGUCCACACCGUAAACGAUG